AUUUUACGACCGCUUUUACCAAGGAUUCCGUCUUACCUGGAGGACACCGGUGACUUUUUAGGAGCUCUCAAAGAGAUUGAGUGGCAAGAAGAUUAUCUGCUGGCUUCAAUAGAUGUGGAAAGUCUUUAUACAAGAAUACCCCAGGAGCAAGGAGUACAAACCAUCUGCAGUUUAUUGACUAGGCUCGAUACAUGGACAUGUAAUUGUCUCACCUGUUGACUGGUCACGUGGAGGAGGGAGUGUGGUAUUUACUCCACCCUUCAACCACGUCACAGGAGGCUUGACAAAGCACUGUUUAGUGUGAAACGGCUGUUGCCUUGGAUUGCUGUGCAGUGACCCGCAUCUAGCAUGUUAUUACCCGGAAUAAAAGCUACUAUCAAUACAACAAUUGGGCACCUCAACCAACAUCUGGCAGGAGAUUCCUUAACACCAGAAUAAGCUCCGAAGUAAUUCCUUCUCAUCACUGCACGCCGGCCCAGGGAGCUGCAGAAACG